GAUGAACGCUGGCGGCGUGCUUAACACAUGCAAGUCGAACGAUGAAGCCCAGCUUGCUGGGUGGAUUAGUGGCGAACGGGUGAGUAACACGUGAGUAACCUGCCCUUAACUCUGGGAUAAGCCUGGGAAACUGGGUCUAAUACCGGAUAGGAGCGUCCACCGCACGGUGGGUGUUGGAAAGAUUUAUCGGUUUUGGAUGGACUCGCGGCCUAUCAGCUUGUUGGUGAGGUAAUGGCUCACCAAGGCGACGACGGGUAGCCGGCCAGAGAGGGUGACGGGCCACUGUGGGUGUGAGACAGGGCCGAGACUCCUGCGAGAGGGCGCAGUGGGAUAUAUCGCACAAGGGGGGAAAGCCAUAUGGAGCCACGGCGCGUGGGGUAUGAGGGCUUUCGGGUUGUAACCCUCUUGCAGGAGGGAAAAAGCGAAAGUGACGGAUCCGUCAGAAGACGCCCCGUCAAUCUACG
rnacentral:rRNA from 1 species